UCGAGAAUUUUUCUCAAUGGGCGAAAGCCUGAAGGAGCGACGCCGCGUGGGGGAUGAAGGGUUUCGAUCCGUAAACCCCUGUCAUUUGCGAACAAACCUUAGCAUUUAAAAGAUGUUGAGCUGAUUGUAGUGAAAGAGGAAGGGACGGCUAACUCUGUGCCAGCAGCCGCGGUAAUACAGAGGUCCCAAGCGUUGUUCGGAUUCACUGGGCGUAAAGGGUGCGUAGGUGGCUUGGUAAGUUUGAUGUGAAAUCUCCGGGCUUAACCCGGAAAUGGCAUUGAAUACUAUUGAGCUGGAGGUUUGGAGGGGGGACUGGAAUUCUCGGUGUAGCAGUGAAAUGCGUAGAUAUCGAGAGGAACACCAGUGGCGAAGGCGAGUCCCUGGACAACACCUGACACUGAGGCACGAAAGCUAGGGGAGCAAACAGGAUUAGAUACCCCCGUAGUCC
rnacentral:rRNA from 1 species